rnacentral:tRNA from 1 species
GUCGCGGUGGCGGAAUUGGUAGACGCGCUAGCUUCAGGUGCUAGUGGAAUUACUUCUGUGGAGGUUCGAGUCCUCUCCGCGACA